rnacentral:rRNA from 1 species
UGGGGAAUAUUGCACAAUGGGCGCAAGCCUGAUGCAGCAACGCCGCGUGAGGGACGACGGCCUUCGGGUUGUAAACCUCUUUUAGCAGGGAAGAAGCGAAAGUGACGGUACCUGCAGAAAAAGCGCCGGCUAACUACGUGCCAGCAGCCGCGGUAAUACGUAGGGCGCAAGCGUUAUCCGGAAUUAUUGGGCGUAAAGAGCUCGUAGGCGGUUUGUCGCGUCUGCUGUGAAAUCCCGAGGCUCAACCUCGGGUCUGCAGUGGGUACGGGCAGACUAGAGUGCGGUAGGGGAGAUUGGAAUUCCUGGUGUAGCGGUGGAAUGCGCAGAUAUCAGGAGGAACACCGAUGGCGAAGGCAGAUCUCUGGGCCGUAACUGACGCUGAGGAGCGAAAGGGUGGGGAGCAAACA